ensembl:lncRNA
GAUACUUACCAUGGGAUAUAACUGAUAAUAGUUGCCAGACUUGUAAAUAUACUUGUUUGUUAAAAAAAAAUCGAAUGUCUAGUAUUAGUAGUAGCCAUGGUACGAGUUUUGACGAUAGUGCUAGUACUGAAGUUCGUGAUAAUAGUAGUAGUAGUAGUAGUAGUAAAAGUGUAGACCAAAAUAACAGAUUAAACAAAAAAACUGACAUAUUAAUAGACUAUUGUUCUAUCGACUGUAUGAAAUGCUGUAAAAAUACAUAUUCAUCAAAUAAAAUGGUACUAUCAAUUGGUUCGUCUGAUUUACCUAUUCAAUUAUCUUGCUACCUAUUUAUAAAAAGAUUAGUAAAACAUGAUACUGCAUCAAAAUUAUGGCAAAAAUGUAUAAAGAAUAUUACUUCAGAUAAUACAGAAAAAUCUAAUUCUACUUUAAGAAUAGAUAGAGGGAUGGCAGCAACAGCAAAACAUAUUAUUCAUACUAUGUGGUAUCAAAGUACUUUCUUUUUAUUAAAUUUAAAAACAUAUAAACUAAAAGGUAAAUCAAGAGAUAGACCAUUUAUGGUAGUUUUUGUUGGAGAAGGUGCAACAGAUUUUGGUGGACCAUUCCAUGAAUACCUGUCAUCAUUAUCAAGAGAAGUAAUGGGUAAAUUAUCAGAUUCACCAGAUAAAAGUUUACCCAUAUUCCCUUUAUGUAUUCCAUGUCCUAAUUAUACUCAAGCAAUUGGAGGAAGACAAGAUACUGUAAUAAUAAAUCCUCAUAGUAGUCCUUAUUGUAUAAAAGAAUCAGAUUAUGUUGGUGAAAUUGAUAUAAUUGACAACUUAGAAAGGUUUACAUAUCAAGUACAACAUACUUAUCAAUCUAUUAAAAAUUUAAAAAAAAAAAAAAAAAUUUCAUAUGACAGUAUAUGUAAGACACCAAAGAUGAUAAAUAAAAAUCUUGGUUCUGGGAAAAUUCAUAAGGACGAACAAGAUAACAGUGAUAUAUAUAAAAAUUAUAGUUUAAAAAAAAUGUGCUCUGAUAGCAGUACAUAUUCAAAUGUUGAAAAAAACAAACAUGUUUUAAAACUUGUAAAUAACACAAAUGAAGCUUUUUAUAAUAAAUUGGAUAAUAAACAACUCAAGUGUUCUGAAUGUGGUCACAUGGUAAAUCCGAACGAGUGUGAUUAUUACAAUAAAUACGGUAAAGAAAACGACAGUGGCAAUGGUAUUAGUGAGCAUACCUAUAGUUAUAUUAAUGACAAUAACAGUAAUGAAAACUGCACUGUUGAUAACGUAAAUGCAAAAUCUUACAACUAUAACUUAAGUGGCGACGAUACAAUAGAUAGAAAAAAUGUUUCAAAUAAAAAUGAACUUGGACAAUUGGCUUGUCCUAAAAACGAGAACCAUAACAUUUAUUCAUAUACUACUAAAAAAUCGGUAACCUUUGAAAACAUUGAAACGAAGAAUGACGAAAAAUCAUAUAUUAAUAGUAGAAAAUACAACAAUACUAUUACUACUCAUAGUAACAACAAGUACAGAUAUGGUUCAAUAGGAUUACGUAAGAAUAGAAAUAGUGACAGUAAUAGUUACAAUAAACUUCAUGAAAUUAUGGAUAACGCUUCUCUAAAAACUAGAAAAAUGUUCUUAGAUAAAAUAUUAAAUAGAAAAAAUGAAAAAGGGAAUAAUAACAAGUACCGAAAUAAAUCAUUACAAAAAGAACAAAAAAAUGAAUAUGAAAAUGUGAGAAGAAAUAACAGCGAUAAUAUUAAUAAUAAUAGUAGCAUUAAUAAUUCUAAAUAUAACGAUCUAAUUAAUAGUAAUAGUUUUAUUAACGAUAAUAAUAAAAAAAAUAAUAAUUAUAAUAAUAAUAACGCAAACAUAGAAUAUGAAGAAAAUGUAAUAGAAGCAAUGGAAUUAGCUAUGUAUGAAUCAUUAGGCAGAAUUAUGGGUAUGUGUAUCUGUAUAGCAUCUGCGUUAAACAUAUGUUUUAAUCCAAUAAUAUGGAAAAAAAUUUGUGCUACACCU